AGAGUUUGAUCCUGGCUCAGAUUGAACGCUGGCGGCAUGCUUUACACAUGCAAGUCGAACGGCAGCACGGGGGCAACCCUGGUGGCGAGUGGCGAACGGGUGAGUAAUAUAUCGGAACGUACCCGGAAAUGGGGGAUAACGUAGCGAAAGUUACGCUAAUACCGCAUAUGCCCUAAGGGGGAAAGCGGGGGAUUCGCAAGAACCUCGCGUUUUCGGAGCGGCCGAUAUCGGAUUAGCUAGUAGGUGAGGUAAAGGCUCACCUAGGCGACGAUCCGUAGCUGGUCUGAGAGGACGACCAGCCACACUGGAACUGAGACACGGUCCAGACUCCUACGGGAGGCAGCAGUGGGGAAUUUUGGACAAUGGGCGCAAGCCUGAUCCAGCCAUGCCGCGUGAGUGAAGAAGGCCUUCGGGUUGUAAAGCUCUUUCAGCCGGAAAGAAAACGCACGGGUUAAUAACCUGUGUGGAUGACGGUACCGGAAGAAGAAGCACCGGCUAACUACGUGCCAGCAGCCGCGGUAAUACGUAGGGUGCGAGCGUUAAUCGGAAUUACUGGGCGUAAAGCGUGCGCAGGCGGUUUUGUAAGACAGAUGUGAAAUCCCCGGGCUUAACCUGGGAACUGCAUUUGUAACUGCAAGGCUAGAGUACGGCAGAGGGGGGUAGAAUUCCCCGUGUAGCAGUGAAUGCGUAGAUAUGUGGAGGAUACCGAUGGCGAAGGCAGCCCCUGGGUCGAUACUGACCCUCAUGC
rnacentral:rRNA from 1 species